GACAGUUACCAUGCCCUUUCGAAAGGAGUCAGGUUUUAAACCUAAUGGCUCUUUCAUGAUUAUAUGAUAGGUGGUGCAUGGCCGUUCUUAGUUCGUGGAGUGAUCUGUCUGCUUAAUUGCGUUUCAAAUUUUUAUUUGAGGACCAGGUUUUGGUUUGGGUAGUGGUCCUACGAUGACUGUGAACUGUCAUGUCUUCGGAUGUGCGACUAUCGGUCUAGGAUCGCAUCUCAGCCCCUGGGACUCUUUUGAACGCAACGGACGUGAUUGCAACCCCUUGUUGAGAUUAGAGGAGUCUCGAUAUUCAUUGGCCAAACUUACCGCUUCGAGCUUGCUCGUGCAGUUUUGUUAGCCGGUGGAUAAACUCGGGGGACUGCUGACUAUAACCAUUUCUCAAAACAGAGGAAGGUUGCGGCAAUAACAGGUCUGUGAUGCCCUCAGAUGUCCCGGGC
rnacentral:rRNA from 1 species